UAAUUCCUGCCUUUAAGAGCUCAUAGUCUACUGGGGAAGGAGAUGUGAGGGUUGUGUCACUGAAAAUUGCUUCUAGCACAGUGAGAAUUGUGUCCAAUUGAAGUCACAUAAACUAAUACCAGUCAAAUUAGAAGCGCUGAUGUUGCCCGGAACUGAAACUCAGACAGAUCUCUGGAGGAUUCAGGCUUAUGGAGAGACUAUCAUCCCAUAAGAAUGGAGACCUCUGCCUGCUUCACUCCCUGCCGUGCUUCCAUGUCUGGAGCAUGCAGUAGGACCUCAGUGAAUGUGUGCUGGAAGAGGGAACACUGAUCGGAAUUUGUCCUCUGAAUUUGUCCACUCACACUGCAGUGUCAGCUCCUUGAGGACAGCAACGUC
rnacentral:lncRNA from 1 species